rnacentral:lncRNA from 15 species
AUUUACAUAGUAUGGCAAUGAUUCCCAAAACCCUAACAAAAGUCUCUCCUAAUUUCUACCUACCAUGUACAACUACAGAACUGCAGCAACAUAACAUUACUUGUCGACAAAUUCAGAGUUUUGUUAAACUACUGAAGCUUACCAAGUUCGCACGAGUUUUGUGGCUAUGGUAGCUAUUUAAGUGGGGAAAAGCACCUGAGGCUAACCUCAGACUUGCAAAACUCAAAUCAUUCUAUUUUGAUCACUUUCAACACUGUUUUGAGAACACAAAAGUCAAACAAAAAUAAAAACAUUGUUUGCAUCCAGAUUUCACCAAAAGUUAGCAUUAGAUAAUGCCUCAUUUGCAUAUUUACACAUAACAUUUCAGAAAACUUGUAAUGCAAAAAAUAAUUUGUAAAGUAUCAUGGUGAUAUCUAUUAUUCUACCAUACUACCCUAUUCACCUGUAGUGUCUUGCAAAAUGUAUAGAAUUUUACAAAACACAUCUUUAAAGGCUGUUUCCUUAAAGACAUUUUUAUUUUCUCACACUCCACUUCAGUAGCUCUUACAUACACCAAACCUUCCAGUUUUAUGCCUAUCUAUCUAUAUCUGAGUAAGUUUCAUGGUGAUAUCUAUUAGUUAAAAACUUUCAUCCAAUUCACCUGUAGAGUCUCAUCUUAAAGUAUUUUAAAAUGAAUAAAUACACAAGUGAUUCAUUAAGUUAAAUUGCCCAUUGCCUUCUUGCUGAACCUGAAAUUGGUCAUGAUGAGUCGUCUGUGCUUUUAAAUCUACUGUCGUUCCGCCCUCUGUCGUAUUGGCCAAUCAGCAGCUCUGGCACACAACCCCUCUAUGCAUUACAGACCAAUCACAGCUCGCCUUUCAUCGCCAGUGGAGGAGUCCAGUUGUAGCAGUCUGGUUGGGUCUCACCGCCUCCAGUCUACUACCAGCGCAACAAGCCUGUCCACCGUGCGACUGACGCGGUCUAUGUACACAGAAAAUGCCCGGAAAGUGACUCCAGAGGCCGGCAGGACUGUCCGGACAUUGGCACUGGAUUCUGUGAAGGUUUUCCGACGGACAAACCCGAGACUCCUGCGCCGUCUCGGCAGCAUUAGGCCCAGUGUUUAA